rnacentral:rRNA from 1 species
GACGGAGGAUGCAAGCGUUAUCCGGAAUGAUUGGGCGUAAAGCGUCCGCAGGUGGCAGUUCAAGUCUGCUGUCAAAGACCGGGGCUCAACCUCGGAACGGCAGUGGAAACUGAACAGCUAGAGUAUGGUAGGGGCAAAGGGAAUUCCUGGUGUAGCGGUGAAAUGCGUAGAGAUGAGGAAGAACAGCGGUGGCGAAGGCGGUUUGCUGGACCAUAACUGACACUGAGGGACGAAAGCGUGGGGAGCAAACAGG